UAUAAGAAUCACCUUGUCUGUCCGUUCGACUAUUCGUCUGUUCGUCUUCUGUGCAAUUGGACUUAAAAAAGUUUUGCUUAAAUUAAUUGUAAAGAUGUGCGAUUGUCAACAUUUUACUGGAAAAUCCUGAUUUUAUUUUUAAUAUCUAUCAUGAUGCUAAUUGAUAUGAUACAUUGCGGUGAUUAUUAUUGCAGGGAUGAUUUUCACUAAAACCCCUAUUGCACUUGUAGCUAAUAAGCUCAAUUGAAAUUUAGAAGACAUGCUAAUUAUGUCACUUAUUAAAUAACUUGUUUAACAAGUGUGCAAAAUUACUCCUGAUGAUAGCGGGUUUGCAGCUCAUAAUUUAACAAUUUUAAAUAUAAAAUCAAAAACUUUGUGUCAAGCCGCUGAAACAACAAUAAGAUGUUGGUUAAAUAAUAUAAGGACUGAUUGUUUGUAGGAAUGCAGUUACACGCUGCAGGAGCUGAGUAGAAAUCCCUUGGUCAACUGACAUUUUCACCUUGUAAAAAUUUAAAAUACAACUGUACAAUGUUUUUGAAUUUCCCCGCAAACCCAAAGCAAUUCCAGAAAUAUAACAGUAUCGUGAAACUCUGGGGGAAUGCAAUCUGGUGUGACAGGACCUAAGCUUUGAGAAAACAAUCAGGUAACCAGAAAUUUGCAUUUGUCAAAUUCUUUGAGCUGGAUGAUAGUAACAAACAUUAUUAGGAUGUAAAAUUUGAAUUACAGUUCUCAUAUGAAAUGCAAUCAUUAUAUUAAUAUACAUGUAAAUUAUAUCUUACACAAGCUAACAAUUACCCCCACCCCCUUCCUAACAAAAUCACAACAUACACGAGCUAUAAUUCAAUAGUGUACUCGUAGUUUUGAUAAAUCUACAAAUCUACCUCAGGUAUUAAGUAGGAUAUUUUAGGUAAAAAAAAUCCAACUCACUUUUUGGCUUGCUUGGAGUACCUCAUGUUUAUCAACUAGAAAAUUUCUAAUAUCAAAAUACUCCAGUAUAUUCUGUAAAUAACUUCUCAGCAUGCAUGGUCAAUAGAAAUGUCAUGACCUAAAGCCCAUAUUCCUCUGCUUCAUGUCACCCCCGGCCAUUUCAAGCUGAGUAACAACUUGUUGUUACAUGCACAUGCUAAGGUCCUCUAUCAGAUGUCAAUCACUAACUGGAUGCUGAUAAGAUGUUCGGGGUGUGCUAAUAAUAGUAACUGUGUGAAAUUUGAGAGCUUUCAACAGCAGAUCACUGCUUUAGGAACAGAUGCAAAAUGUGGUCGCAAAUUUAAUUUAAGAUCAACGCUGCGUGUGUACUUUAAUUCUGAAGCAGAACAGAAAUAUUGUUUGGAAAUUGCAGUUGCAAACUUUGCAGGAUGCAUGCAUCAAGGUAAUGAUGAUUGGCAGUGACAAAAUAUUUUGCCUGGUGGAUUUUGAUUUGAAAUCACUGCAUUUGAAUUGUUUGCUGGUCUAGUGGAUGGGGAGCAUUGAUUUGGACAGAGCUUGAUCGGGAUGGAAGAUGCUUGAAGAUUAAGAUUCUAUAGAAGAUCUGGACAUCCCCCCUGGGAGGAAAUCAAUGAGGCCACAGAAAAGUUCAAAAGCCAUCCAGCCAGUCACACAGUAUGAACAGAAGAUAAACAGAACAGAAGAUAAACCUUGAUUCAUGUCAACCAUGUAUCAAAGACCGAAUUAAGUGAAAGUGCUUUCUGGAAAAUGCAGCUCUACUUGGGAACUCCAUCCUGAAUUUGAUGGAUGCGAGCUUUAUGUUUUUAGUAAUUAUAAAAUCAUAUGCAUUGAGACAAUUAUUAAUAUAGUUAAAUUUUUAAUUAUAUAAACAAUCUAAUCCAAUUACAAACUAAACUUGAUAUUUAAUAUAAAAAGAAAUAUUAAAUUGGUAUUCUUAA